GGAUGUCUCCUUAACGGUUGGACUUGGCGACACGCUCCAACUCAUCCUUCUUCUUGAUGGCGUAGGAGUUGGAAGAACCCUGGAAUCGAAUUAAGACAGACAAUUAGUAAUUGUGCACAAGGAUAAUAAAGGAUGGGAUUUAAUUUGGUCCAGAAGCGAGACCACAUAAAUAAACCAUUAUGUAGAAUUAGAUUGGACCUGUUAAAGACUGAUAACUGCUAUAUAAUUAAAAAUUGCCUAUGUUUUUUUA